rnacentral:SRP_RNA from 2 species
GCCAGGUGUGGUGGUGUGCACCUGUAGUCCCAGCUACUUGGGAGGCUGAGGUGGGAGGAUCACUUGAGCCCAGGAGUUUGAGGCUGCAGUGAGCUGUGAUCAUGCCACUGCCAUCCAGCCUGGGUGACAGAGCAAGACCCCAUCUCUA